rnacentral:lncRNA from 1 species
ACAGCCUUGUUAGGAACAGGAGGAGAACCUCGUCCUGACACGAGCUGAAACUGACUGUCGGGAACAAGGGAAGGACCUCGUCCCGACGUAAACAAAGACUCGAUUGAUCGACAAGGAGGAAAGCUUCCUCAAUGACUCCUCUACACUCUCACGAUCCCGUCAAGAGCAGAGGGAAGACCCUCACUCAAACACAGAAGAAAAGGAGAGACGAAAAGAAAGAGCGACGAACUACACCGACAAUAGGUGAAAAAUGAACUACAUCAAAGACACAAGGGAUCUCGUCUCGACGAGAGAGAAAACUCUUAUCGAAAAUCUCUAGUCUCUAAGGGCAAAUCGACACGGUGACGACCAGAAACCUUCAAACUAUGUUGGCAACGAACA